rnacentral:rRNA from 1 species
UACGGGGGGGGCAAGCGUUGUUCGGAAUUACUGGGCGUAAAGGGCUCGUAGGCGGCCAAUUAAGUCACACGUGAAAUCCCUCGGCUCAACCGGGGAACUGCGUGUGAGACUGGAUGGCUUGAGUUUGGGAGAGGAAUGCGGAAUUCCAGGUGUAGCGGUGAAAUGCGUAGAUAUCUGGAGGAACACCGGUGGCGAAGGCGGCAUUCUGGACCAAUACUGACGCUGAGGAGCGAAAGCCAGGGGAGCAAACGGG